rnacentral:misc_RNA from 1 species
AGCAAUUUUUUUGAGAUAAAACUAACUGUCAAAUUAGAGCUGGUUCUUAGCAUUAGAUUAUUGGUAUUUGAAGUAUCUUGUUAAUUGAGAUAAGGGGAAUAUAGGUUAGGCGCUAGUAAGUAUAUUGCAGCUUUACUAUAGUAUGAAAACCACUCAAUUCAAUCAGUAAAUUAUGUGUAUUUGAGUGGGAAGUUCCAAUUUUUUGUUGCUUCUGUCCGGGUUUUUUAGAUUUUUGUUAACAAAAUUCAUUCUUUAAUUCUAAUUCUAGUUUCACAGUGUCACAAAACCUAACCCCUUUACCUUGCAUGGGCUGUAAUUGAGGAGUGAAGCAUAUAAAUUUCUUGUUAAAGUUAAUAGGCUUAGGAUUUCUAUGCAUGGAUUACUAGAAUCUUUUGGAUUGAUUUCUGUUUGCAAUAAAUUAUUCGUUGGCAUUAUAUUCCUUUUUAAGUUGUAGGAUGGAAACAUGUGUUAUUUCUAUAUAUUUUUUUUUAAGAUGAAGUCUGAGGUCUCCUUCCUAUUAUCUAUGAAUUAUCUAUGAAUGAAUGAACUCAUAGGCUUAUUGAAUGUGGGGAUGCCAAUGAUGACUGGUUUUUUAUCAGUGUUGAUAGUUAUGGGUUUUUCAAAGGCCGCAACCAUCCCUUUAUUUUUAAAGGCAAAUCUGUUAUCUCAAUAAUUCAGUUGACAAAAAAAUAUAUGCAUGUGGUGUUUUCUUCCCUUUUUUUUUUUCGUUCUCUGUGUUUCAACCUUCCAACUACUACUUCUAUCAUAUUUUCUCUCAAAAUUUGCCUAAACUUCCCCUUCUUUGCGCAAAUAUCUCUCCUAUUCUCUUUGUAAGUUAAGAUAAUCAAAUAUUUCUGCGCGAGUGUGUUUUUUUGGCAUAUUUGUUGAAGAAAAUUAGGUUUGAUGUUAGAUUUGUUGUUAAAUUUAUAGUAUAAAACAUUAGUUUGCUUGAUCUAUAGGUUUAUGUUUUUUUUUUCUAAUUUGAGCUUUUUGCAUAAUUAAUUUUACUAAAAUGCAUUAUUAAUUACAAACUAAUAUCUAAUUUAAUGUAUUUAUACUUAUUAUAUAGUUGUGUAUCUUAGUUUU